rnacentral:rRNA from 1 species
GAUGAACGCUGGCGGCGUGCCUAACACAUGCAAGUCGAACGAAGCGCUUUGAAGUUUUCGGACGGAAGAGUGACUGAGUGGCGGACGGGUGAGUAACGCGUGGGUAAACUGGCGCAUACAGGGGGAUAAUAGUUAGAAAUGACUGCUAAUACCGCAUAAGCGCACAGCAUCGCAUGCAGCAGUGUGAAAAACUCCGGUGGUAUGAGAUGGACCCGCGUCUGAUUAGCUAGUUGGCGGGGUAACGGCCCACCAAGGCGACGAUCAGUAGUCGAGCUGAGAGGGUGACCGGCCACAUUGGGACUGAGACACGGCACAAACUCCUACGGGAGGCAGCAGUGGGGAAUAUUGCACAAUGGGAGAAAGCCUGAUGCAGCAACGCCGCGUGAGUGAAGAAGUAUUUCGGUAUGUAAAGCUCUAUCAGCAGGGAAGAAAAUGACGGUACCUGACUAAGAAGCCCCGGCUAACUACGUGCCAGCCGCCGCAGUAAUAC